rnacentral:rRNA from 1 species
UACGUAGGUGACAAGCGUUGUCCGGAUUUACUGGGCGUAAAGAGCGCGCAGGCGGUCGAUCAAGUCGAGUGUGAAAGCCCCCGGCUCCAACUGGGGAGGGUCAUUCGAUACUGAUCGACUCGAAGGCAGGAGAGGGUAGUGGAAUUCCCGGUGUAGUGGUGAAAUGCGUAGAUAUCGGGAGGAACACCAGUGGCGAAGGCGACUACCUGGCCUGUUCUUGACGCUGAGGCGCGAAAGCUAGGGGAGCAAACGGG